CACGGGGAGGGGUGGGGGGAGGGAGAGAGAGAGACUGCCGAAUCGAUCGCAACUUCUGCAAAGUCUAACACAAUCCAAACCACACAAGGCAAAGCCAGGGAGAGAGACUCUGAGAACCCAGCCAGCCCGGCUUGGAUGGCUUUCAAAAAAGAGGAGAGAGAGUGAGAGAGAGACAGAUUGCAUUGCAAAUCCUUCUGAUUUGGGAGUAAAGUUUUUUUUUAAAGAAAGAAACCUAACCAGCAGCCUGCAAUUGGCUACAGCUUUUAUUCUCUUCCGGGUUUUCAACGGUUCCAAGUUUAUUUUAGAUAUUAAAAAAAACAUUGAAAAAAGUGUCAACCUAUGAAGCCAAUCGUCUCAGCCUUGUAAAGUUUCUCACGUACUCUUUAUACAUUGCAAUGGCAUGCUUUGGUCAAUAUCUGCUCGCUGUGCCUCAGGUACAUGUCUUGCUGUCAGCCAGAAACUUCUGUCGAGGAAACCUGAAGAGCAAUGAAGUGAUAUAUAGCAGCAAAUAUGUAGAGGAAAGUGUUUCUUGUCAUUAUUUGACUAACAGAUACAGACCACUUUUUAUCAAAGGAAAGCACUGAGUGAAAACAGCUCAUUUUUCAGUUAGUCUAGGACAUCCCCAGUUAAAGAAAGUCUUGUAGAGAACUUCCAUCAAACAUCGCCCUGGUAAAUACCAAGAAUCUCUUUUCAGUCAGCAAAUUCAGUGACGUACUAGCGAGGGAACAGAAAUGAAAAAGUCUCCAGUUGGAGAGAGAGGAUUUUUGUUACUUUUCUUACACCAGGUUUCCUGACAGAGCCUUUUCUUUGAGCAGCAAUGGGCACAGGGAUUAACACUCCUGAACUUGUUGUGAAAAGGCUUUACAGUUUGAAAUACAGUAUCUACAUCUCCCAUGCACAUGAGAAGCUCUGCACGCUGCAUUCGAUGUGUCUUGUGGAGUCUCCUUUCCUUGGGGGUGGUGGUGGUGGUGGUGGUGUUAUGAAUGGUUGUGGAUGUGUAAGUGUCUGCAGGCUGCAUGCAGCUCAUUGGGAAGAGGAAGAGGAGAAGGGAGUACUCCAUCCAGGAGAUAUAUUGAUGUUAAACCGGAGAGAAAAUAUAAGACUCAAUAAAAGAGAAAAGCUAGCUGACUGGAACCUUUCCAAACCC